AGCGAUCAGGGGACCUCGAGUGCCAGGUUACAAAUCUGGCUGCCGUGAUGCCUAAAAAGCAUUGCAUAGCAAGGGCCGGGCAAGACCGGUGCCAGCCGCCGCGGUAACACCGGCGGCUCGAGUGGUAACCGUUAUUAUUGGGUCUAAAGGGUCUGUAGCCGGCCGGAUAAGUCUCUUGGGAAAUCUGGCAGCUUAACUGUCAGGCUUUCAGGAGAUACUGUCUGGCUCGAGGCCGGGAGAGGUGAGAGGUACUUCAGGGGUAGGGGUGAAAUCUUGUAAUCCUUGAAGGACCACCAGUGGCGAAGGCGUCUCACCAGAACGGACCUGACGGCAAGGGACGAAAGCUAGGGGCACGAACCGGAUUAGAUACCCGGGUAGUCCUAGCCGUAAACGAUACUCGCUAGGUGUCGGCCACGGUGCGACCGUUGUCGGUGCCGUAGGGAAGCCGUGAAGCGAGCCACCUGGGAAGUACGGCCGCAAGGCUGAAACUUAAAGGAAUUGGCGGGGGAGCAC
rnacentral:rRNA from 1 species